AGAACGAACGCUGGCGGCAGGCCUAACACAUGCAAGUCGAACGCUCGUAGCAAUACGGGAGUGGCAGACGGGUGAGUAACGCGUGGGAACGUACCUUUCGGUUCGGAAUAACCCGGGGAAACUCGGGCUAAUACCGGAUACGUCCGCAAGGAGAAAGAUUUAUCGCCGAAAGAUCGGCCCGCGUCGGAUUAGCUAGUUGGUGAGGUAACGGCCCACCAAGGCGACGAUCCGUAGCUGGUCUGAGAGGAUGAUCAGCCACACUGGGACUGAGACACGGCCCAGACUCCUACGGGAGGCAGCAGUGGGGAAUAUUGGACAAUGGGCGAAAGCCUGAUCCAGCCAUGCCGCGUGAGUGAAGAAGGCCUUAGGGUUGUAAAGCUCUUUCAGCGGGGAAGAUAAUGACGGUACCGCAGAAGAAGUCCCGGCUAACUUCGUGCCAACAGCCGC
rnacentral:rRNA from 1 species